GAAUGUAAAGCCUUAGAGUGAUAAUCCUGUUCCACUCAAUGUAAGCCAAUAACAGCAAUGAUUUGCAUUUGUGUGGACCGUUUUAGAUAUUCAUCAAACUAAAAUGUUUCAAACAUUGGUGAAAAAAGUUUAUUUUACAUUGAAUAUCUUAAAGAAGGUUAGAGAGGUUUAAGGAGGCAAUUCCGGAUCUUGUUGGCUCACCAGCUGAAAAUGGUGAAUGCUGUGUUGCGUGGGGUUUUGGAAAACGUUUGUAGCAAGUGAAGAUUACCUACAUUGUGGAAAUAGGCCCUUCGGCCCUGCAAGUCUACACAGCCCCUUGAAGCAUCCCACUCAGACCCAUCCCCCUGUAACCCACACACCCCUGAACACUACAGGCAAUUUAGCAUAGCCAAUCCACCUACCUGCGCAGCUUAGGACUGAGGGAGGAAACCAGAGCACACCCACACAGACACAGGGAGAAUGUGCAAACUCCACACAGACAUUUGCCGGAGGCUGGAAUCGAACCUGUGUCCCUGGUGCUGUAAGGCUGCAGUUCUAGCCACUGAGCCACCAUGCUGCCCUAGAUCUUAAGACUGGAAGAGUUUAGAGGAACUGUAACAGACAGUACCACAGCUGUACAAGAGGUGUCUGCUGUUGGAAACAAUGUAAUGAAUACUGUUCGGAGGACAGAGCCUGAUUAAAGUCGUAGCAGCUGAAGGUGUGUGGGCUGAAGACACUACGCCGCAGAAUUCUUGCAGUGAUAUCCAGGCGCUGAGACGAUUGCACUCCAAUGCUGUCAGGCUUGCUGACUAUUCCAGCAACUUUUGUUUUUGCUCCUGAUACACACCAUCCAAAAUUCUUCAGGUUUUUAAAAAUUAUUUUGCAUUAUGUCUGUUCUCCAUCUGUCUUCUACCCUCCACACCGUUUCCAUUGAUGUUUACUGAGGAUUUCCUAUUAGUACCAAGGACUGUGAUUGAAUCGGGGAGGUGGUUACAUUGCAACUACAUCUGAAUCUUCUCCCAACUGAGAAAGAGCUCGAAAAUUAAUCACAGUUUCUGAGUAGGCUAUAAAUUGCACAUGAAUUGAAUGAUUUCGGCCAUCUGUUGGGAUGAGAGAACUGAAAAACACAGCCAAUGGUUUAAAUCUAAAAGACAAAUAGUGAACUUGAGUGACAAUCAGCAAAUCAGGACAUAGUCUGAUGCACCCCGCCACUAAGCCCCCAACGAAAUCGCCAGAGGAAUGGGAAGGAAAUUGCUUCAUUAAACUGGGAGACACGGACAACUGCAGGAGGUUGGAAUCACUGGGAAGGGAGCAAUGGGAAAAAAAAGAUACAUCAUUGGGUCAGAGAAAGAUGACCUACAGUGAGGUACUGAGUUACUCACCUUGAACUAUCCCACUCCUGUGCCUGGAUGGGUUAACGACCAGGAAGCUGUGAGAUGGAAGUUUGCUCUGAAAUGGGCGUGAAUUCGGGUGUGAGUGACAGGCAUGUCGGGAUAUCAACCAUGGGGUUUCGAAUUGGAGGAGUUCGAUAUAGUUCUGAGGGCCAAAGAGAUAAAAUGAUGUGGGGUCCCUGAGCUGGAUGAUCAGCCGUGAUUAAUUUGAAGAUCAGAACAGGCAAGAAAGGAUGAGUGGACGAUUCUUACUCCAAUUUUUGAAGUUUCCACCAUUACCAGAGAAAUGGAAAGGAUUGACGAGGAUAAAGUGAGAGCCAGGAAUAACAGCACAAUGUAUAAAUCACUGCGAAUGGAGAAAUGGGAUAAAGACCUGGGAUGGAUUCAGAGAAUGAGUACAGAACAGAAAGGUGCUGUUCUGCACCAUAUCUGCCACAGUAAUGAGGCACACCAAGGUCCAUCAACUAUCUACAAUCUGCGUUUACAAGGCUAUGGGAUGGUUAUGGAGGAACAAGUUGAGAUGCAAAACAGGGCCGGAGAUCAUCCAUCACCGCCCUCACCCUCAACCCUUACAGAUUACAGAGUUUAUUCUUGGCCUGUCCCACUAUUUGGCGGGACUGGGUCCAGCUUCACGAAGCUGCCAGCUGAUAGUCAGCUGUGUCAACUUGGCCGGGUUGGAAUGUUUCAAGGAGCAGAUCAUGGGCGAUAUCGGAGCAGGCACCUUCUCUGCUCCUCUUCAUCCUCCUGUUGUGGCUCUUUUACUGGAGCUCUGUUGGUGACCGUUUCUAAACUCUUAUCUCCACAUCCUCGUAUUGUACGUGUAGGUGGCUAUGGUGAGCCCUCGAAUUUUUAAAAGGUCAAUGUCUUAUCAGUGUUACUUAUGCAUUUGUUGUAACAUUUUUUAAAAUUCAUAGAGAACCGCUAAAUCCAUUUUGCCCCUCCAGUUGUUUUUACAUAAAACUCCAUUCUUGGAUGUGAACAAAUUUAAGUAGUGUCAAACAGGAAAUAUUGCCAAACCGCAGCAGUCUGUUGAGCAAGUAGGAGUGGACCAUGUGAACCACGAGAAUCCCUAUGCUUUCUUUCUGAGAAUUCUCACGCUGAGAUGAGGAAUGAACGCAGAUAGUUGUAGAAGUCAAGAAACACAAUUGACAUUUGUGUUGCAUUAUCACUAUAAUGAAAUGAUCACUAGAAUUUCAGAGAUAUUAUAUUACAAGAUUUAUCACAAAGAGACAUAAUACUGAUGAUCAAGAGUGUUGCAAAAUGUAUCAGCUUGAAGGGCAAUUUUGAAAAGGAGAGAGUCAGAGAUGUUUGAAGCGGGAACUACAGAACUUGAGGCCAAUUAUUGAGGUUAUUAAUCGAUGAAAAAGGACAAUUUCAGAUGCUGCCAUGAUUGCUGAGUACUUACCGCACUUUCUUUCUGCAUCUGUUCUUAGUUCUGAGGACUCAAGGGAUCAAAUUGUUUGAGGAUAAAGGUCCUUCACUCGCAAAUCUCCAACCUCAGUAGUUCACUGCAAACAGUGACUGAUUUUAACGGUAGUCAACUAUUUUAUGUGGUAAUUUUUCUCCCAAGUCUUGACUUCACAAUUGUCCAGAUUAAUUUCUCUCAAUUUAACAACCUGCGUAUCUUCUCUUUUCUCCUUUCUUUUCCUGUUUUGAAAGAUUGAUUUGCAACUCGAGGUGCAGAUGAAACCAUAUCCAGAUCUGACAGCCACUCUCUUCAUCAUAACCAAAUUGUCAAAACGUUUUGAACAUUGAAGAAAAAAUACCACUCAUACUGGAGAGGAACACACUUUCUCUCUAUGUGGAAGUGUCUGUGAAGAUUCAUCUAAAAGGUCAAAACACCAGAGCAGUCAUAUUAGAGACAGUGUGGAAAUGUGGGGAUUGUGGGAAGUCUUUUUUUAAAAGAAUCAUCACAGCUGAAAGCUCACCAACUCAGUCUGUUAAAAAAUUGUGUUGAGUAAUCGUGAAUUGGAAGGCAGGAAGCGAGAAUUUGUUUGUAAAAUAACAUUCAGGGACAAGAUUGUAUGGUACCUUGAAGGGAUAGUGCUUUUCUAAGCCUAGGGAUUUAUACUGAGAGAGAAAAAAAAGUGUCUGCAUAUAGCUGAAGGUGUACAGCCCGUUCUAAAAUUGAAACACGUAUCAAUUGGCUGUGUGAACGGAAACCUUGUUUUGGUGUUUUGGCAAUGAGCUGGAAUCAGCCAAUUUGUCUCAUCCAAGCAUUAGCAAUUCAAAGACAAUUAAAUUUAAACCUGGUGGUUUUGAUAGUUUAGCAUGAAUGCUAUUGUAAUAAAAUUGACAUGUCAUCCCAGUAGAUAACGAGAGAUUUUGAAAAUCAGUGUGAGAAUGAAUGGUCAUCUGAGAAGUAAUCAUCUAUCUCUCACAAGCAAUCACUGAGGUCUCUAAGAAAGCACCUGUAUCCAUAAAAGUCACCAUGGUAUUUCUAGUUAAGAGCCCUCACAAAGUACUUCACAGAGAAAACAUCCCUGACACCCGGAUCAGUGGAAUAAAGGCAUUUAUGACGUGAGAGCAGCAGAAAUAAAGCGCGUAGACUUUGAGAGACUAAGAUUUUAUUUUCUUGUCUUACUACUUGGAUUAUAUAAGUGGGACUUAUGUUUAUUGGAAUAGCAUACCAGUAGAACUUAGUCCAUUUAGGGAAUAGUUAGUAGUUAUUGGAAAUUGUUCAGUUUGCUUGUAAUUGUUUCAUUUUGUUCACUAUUAUUUUUAUUAAAAAAUAAAUGUUUACUUUUUACUUA